rnacentral:rRNA from 1 species
UUCUACAGCCAUACCACCCUGAACGCUCCCGAUCUCGUCUGAUCUCGGAAGCUAAGCAGGGUCGGGCCUGGUUAGUACUUGGAUGGGAGAAACCCUAGGCAUGACUAGAAU